rnacentral:rRNA from 1 species
GACGGUAGGGGGCGAGCCGUUGUUCCGGAUUCGAUUGGGCGUAAAGCGCCGCGUAGGCGGAUAGUUUAGUCAGAGGUGAAAGCCCCAGGGCUCAACCUUGGGAAUUGCCUUUGAUACUGGCUAUCUUGAGUUCGGGAGAGGUGAGUGGAAUGCCGAGUGUAGAGGUGAAAUUCGUAGAUAUUCGGCGGAACACCAGUGGCGAAGGCGACUCACUGGCCCGAUACUGACGCUGAGGCGCGAAAGCG